rnacentral:rRNA from 1 species
GUAGGGGCCAAACGUUUGUCCGGAUUUAUUGGGCGUAAAGGGCUCGUAGGCGGUUCAACAAGUCGGUCGUGAAAACCCGGGGCUCAACCCCGGGACGCCGGUCGAAACUGUUGUGACUAGGGUCCGGUAGAGGUGAGUGGAAUUCUCGGUGUAGCGGUGGAAUGCGUAGAUAUCGAGAGGAACACCAGUUGCGAAGGCGGCUCACUGGGCCGGUACCGACGCUAAGGAGCGAAAGCAUGGGGAGCAAACAGGAUUAGAUACCCUGGUAGUCCAUGCCGUAAACUGUGAACACUAGGUGUGGCGGAUCUAUUGAUGUCUGCCCGUACCGUAGCUAACGCGUUAAGUGUUCCGCCUGGGGAGUACGGCCGCAAGGCUA